GAUGAACGCUAGCGGCAGGCCUAAUACAUGCAAGUCGAACGGUGUCUUCGGACAUAGUGGCGCACGGGUGCGUAACACGUAUGCAACCUACCUUACAUUGGGGGAUAGCCUUUCGAAAGGGAGAUUAAUACCGCAUAAGACAGUAGCUGGGCAUCCAGCAGCUGUUAAAGAUUUAUCGAUGUAAGCUGGGCAUGCGUCCAAUUAGCUAGUUGGUGAGGUAACGGCUCACCAAGGCUAUGAUUGGUAGGGGAACUGAGAGGUCAAUCCCCCACACUGGCACUGAGAUACGGGCCAGACUCCUACGGGAGGCAGCAGUAGGGAAUAUUGGGCAAUGGACGCAAGUCUGACCCAGCCGUGCCGCGUGCAGGAUGAAGGCGUUAUGCGUUGUAAACUGCUUUUAUACAGGAAGGAACGACUCUUGCGAGAGGCAUUGACGGUACUGUAUGAAUAAGCACCGGCUAACUCCGUGCCAGCCGCCGCCGUAAAAC
rnacentral:rRNA from 1 species